AACGAACGCUGGCGGCAGGCCUAACACAUGCAAGUCGAGCGAGGACUUCGGUCCUAGCGGCGGACGGGUGAGUAACGCGUGGGAACGUGCCCUUUGCUUCGGAAUAGCCCUGGGAAACUGGGAGUAAUACCGGAUGAGCCCUUUGAGGGAAAGAUUUAUCGGCGAAGGAUCGGCCCGCGUUGGAUUAGGUAGUUGGUGGGGUAAUGGCCUACCAAGCCGACGAUCCAUAGCUGGUUUGAGAGGUUGAUCAGCCACACUGGGACUGAGACACGGCCCAGACUCCUACGGGAGGCAGCAGUGGGGAAUCUUAGACAAUGGGGGAAACCCUGAUCUAGCCAUGCCGCGUGAGCGAUGAAGGCCUUAGGGUUGUAAAGCUCUUUCAGCUGGGAAGAUAAUGACGGUACCAGCAGAAGAAGCCCCGGCUAACUCCGUG
rnacentral:rRNA from 1 species